GGGAACCAUGAGUGACUCCAAAUCUGGAAUUAAUUUGAUGAUGAGACUGGGGCUGCAGGAGCAGCCGAUUCCCAGUCUUCCCCUGCAGGAAAGACCGGGAGGCUGUCCCCGUGGUCUCACCGGCCCUGUGCAUGGUGACCUGGGCCUCCAGGGGAGUGGCCGGGUGCCCUGUUGGAUGUCCUGUAGCGAAUUUGUCUCUGGGAGAAGAGCAGAGAGAUGAAGGCCUCCAUGCCACAGCCCAGGCCGUGCACAUUUGUGUUGACCUUGGCCACAGGCCGACGGCGCGUCUGCGAGGUCUCUGCAUUGCAAGGCCCUUCUCCUCCUGAACUGAAGGCCUUCUUCCUCCUUUCCCCUCCUGAUUCUCUCGCCCUCCUGGUGCAUCCAGGUGCCCGUGAUCCUGUUCCCGUCCUCGGCGUCCGGGGCUCCGUUCUUUCCACCUGGCGUGUCGUUCCCUGAGCUGGAAGCUCCUGCCUGGGUCCUGUCCUCCUGCUGUUCCUCAUCCAAAGUUUCAUGGACACCAAGACAGGCAGUGCCCUCCACCAUAAGCUGGGGAGCCCUUGGGCCCUGGUGUCACCACAUCUUCUCAGAGACCUCCACCUUCCUGGCUUCUCCCUCUUCUUCCUUCCGACGUCUUUGUCCUGCAGACAGCCUGGGUCUUGCUCUGGGUGAGGCAUCCUGGAGCUGAGACCUUGAGGCCUGACCUAGUGGUGCCCCUUGGCACGGCCCGUUCCUGACAACACAGUGGUGUCACAGGAUUGAUUCUAACGCCUCAUGCUCCCUAACAGUGAAAGUGACAGUCAACUGGGCCUGUAGCGUGUUCAGAGGAGCUGGUGAGGAACCCCCUGGAGCCCCGGAAAGCUGGAUCUAGUGCAGCCCCGCACAGCCCUGGUGGAGGCCAGCUCUGCCGUUUGCCGUGUGCCCUGGGGUGCAUGCUGUCUGAGGGUGCACCCUGUGCAUGACAUGGUGGCAGCCCCCACCCUCCCAUGUGGAGGGAACAAUAGCAGUGAAGACCCAGGAGCCACCGGCUUCCAGGAGGAGGCCCUGGUCUUUCUUCAGAGCAACUUCGAGGUGCGACCCAGGAUACACUUUGGGAAAUGCUGGCCGAUGGGCAGCCCCGGCCUCUGGUGGAAGUACACGUCCCUCAUCCCAAUAUAAGUGCGUGCCACCUCCUUGUGCGGAUGCCCAGGUGUUCACUUCCCUGUCCAUGGAGCAUACAUGAAGCACCUACUGAGUGCAGGGGCACCACAGGUGUUGGGCAGAAGGGGCAGCUCGAGGGCUUUGGGGCCGGGGAGGGACAGGAGGUGCUCGCUCUCAUCCUUCCUUGAGUGGGGCUCUCUCAAAAGCUGGGUUCAAGGGUGAUGCCUCCCUUGUCCAUUGUAGGCCUAAUGGAGGAUUCGGGGCAGCAGGACCCAGAGAAGUUGUCCCUGGCCAUGAGCUUGGCCCUGAGCUCUGUGAGUGGCUCUGCCCUCCCUGCUUGUCCAGGUGCCUCCCGCAUCCCAAGCUCAGGGCAGCCCGGGUCUUUCAGUUCAGUGCUGAAGAGAGUGGCUUCCAUGUGUGCCCGCCCUCUCUUCGGAAGGCCGCCUCUGCUCUGAGUGUGCGGUGUGGGCCCUUGCUCUUUAAACGGUUGCGGCGAUGGGUGGGUGAGCAUGUGUGGGGGCCACAAGCUGAGUGUGGGGUUCGAGAGUGACCCAGGUCGGUCCUACCACCUGGAGCUUGCAGACGGGAGCCCCAGGUGAGAGUGGGGUUCCUCCCAACUAGGGGGCAGUGGGAGGUGCUGGCCGAGUCUGUCUCCCAUGAGGGCCAGGCCCAGGUGACUGUUGAUGGUGAGAGGGGUGUGGCCGCUCUCCCGAGAGCCCACAGUCAGUGGAUCAGGGGCGAAUGUCUCAGCCUUGAAGGUGCCUAAGGACCUUGCUCGGCUGUGGUUGAAAACCUUCUGCAGGCCAAGCAAAUGGGAGCUGCAGCAGGGAGAUUAGGCAGCCUGCGGGCCACGGGAUGGGCUGCAACAGGGAACCUGGGGUCUGCUCCUGGGAACACCUUCCUGGGCUGCCCCCACCCGGCCGAUUGGACCCAGGUGGCGGCUCUAACCCGUCCUGCCCACCGUGUGGGCCUGAGGUGCGUGAACAGGAUCCAGGUCCAUGGCCGCUGACUGUGUUCUUCCCGUGCAUUCCUUGCCACUAACCCUCCCACCCCAGACCCCUCCACCUGAGUUCUCAGCCCUAAGGGCCCGUGUGUCUCUGCCCCCAGAGCCAGGCACGGGGCCAGCACCCAGAGUUUGUGGCCCUCUUUGGCUACUGAUUCAUAUGUCUGGGACUGGGUUCUGGUCAAGGGGACUUCCUGAGAAGCCAGUGGCGGUUAGCUUCCAGCUUCGGGGUCCCUUCUUGCACGGACCUCUGCAACACCCUGCACCCAAGUUUUGUGAGGCCCACCAUCCUCUGGGCCUGGGACUUGAGGCAUCCCAGCCUCUUCCCACCACCAUGUGGGGCGUUAAUCAUAGGGUUGACAUUCUCCCCGCUGCACACAACAGGACGUCCACUUCUGAAGCUGUCAAAAGAGCUGCGUAUGAUUCAGGGCAAAAUGGAAUUCUCAGAAUCCCCAGAAUUCACUGGGGAGAACAAUGAAAUGAAGGAGAAAUAUAAUCCAGCAAAGACCCUGCUAGCCCCCUGGGGGUUCUGGCAGAGCCGGGGUCCCUGCCCCAGCUUGCACCCCAGGAGUCACGUGGAGGAAGCGAGCAGUGCCUCCUUCAUGCUUUCUGACUGCUCUGGCCAGAACCCCACUGCAGUAGAUGAGAAACUGCUGCAGAGCCCAGGAAGGAGAUCCUGCCCUGGGCUGGCCCCCAGCUUUCUCCAACCGCCACCCACAAAACUGGUUGUGCCUAGAUGCUCCCAGGGGUUGUGAGGUCAUUGCCCAGAUGUGUGUCGGCCAGGCCUGUGGUCGCUAGUUGGUAACUGUCCAAGGGGGGUAACUGGACCAUCUCCUGCAGGAGCUGCUGCACUGUGCCUGGUCCCAGGUAGGAAUUCAGGCCUUGCCAGGGCACCAAGGGACCCACUGUGGGACCAGCGACCUGGCUGCCUGCAUAGGUGGCAGAAGAUUUCAGUAGAAACAGCACCAAGCAAUGCCAGGACCCCUGGGCCAGGUCAGGAUUAGGAAAGCAAAUUGGACCUGUUAGAAAACUCCGGGGCCAGCAGGAAAGCGGGGAGCCUGCCCUGUGUCAGCCAAAUGGUUAAAGGAGAAGAGUAGAAUCCAGGGGAAAUCAAGCCGUCAAGUCGUUAAUUGACUUUGCCUCAAUCAGCCUGAUGCAUAUUCAUGAGGCGCCAGCCCUCCCCAGGCCUGUGCAGCAGUGUGCUCCCCUCUGUCUGAGCUGCUGUGACAUGGUGGCUCCCGCCUCCGCCUGCCUGCAGUCAGCCUUGAUUGGCCCAGCCGCUCUCUUGAAAAUGCCAUAGCAACCCCUGGCUGGUUGCCUAGCAAUUCCUCCCUUUUCCCUUUUCCUCCCCUAAAGCCCAAGCGAGUAGUCCACAGGCUUCUGGUGGAACAUGUCUCUGUGCCAUGGCAAGUGCCUGUGUGUGUGUGUGCGCACUCAUGUGCGUGAGAGGACAGAUCCGGAAGGGAACACUUCCUGCCAGCAGCGUCUCAAAGACUUGGGAGUGCACCUGCUGCCUGUCUCGGUACCAGCUCACCUGCUCAGGGGUAGGGGACAUGGGGGCAUAGACCCCUGGCCCUGGCAGGGCAUCCUGUGCUGCUCACUUCAUUAUCACCAACCAGGAUCCCCAAACCUGAGUCACUGGGGAGCCGUGGCCGCCAUCAGCAUGGUGGGAUGGAGGGUUGGCUUUCAGCCCUCCCAGGUUCCUUGAUUCUGAAGCAAAGAUGACUUUGAUGCUCAGGCCCCAGCCAGCGGAAGGACAACAGGCUUCUGCCAUUCCAUGGACCAAUGUGGGUCCAAAGGGUCUACCAUUCUGCACAGGGCCAACUUCAGGGCAGCUGUCCGGGGCUGCAGAUGCUCCCUCACAGGCCAGGUGGGGCUUUCAGCUGUGACAAAGUCUGGAUGUCCACCCCUGGUGAAGCCACUAGGAGGCUGUGGGGGAGCCGAGGGUAGUGUCCAGGAGCCAUUGAGUCCAUCUCAAGGCUCUCUCUCCUCUUGGAUAGUGUGUGCCCGUGUGCAUGUGUGUGCCUGAGCAUAUAUAGGGUGCCCUCAGAGAGUGCAUUGGGUGAUGAUGACUGAUGUGGGCAGUCUUUUCUUUGAUCAAUGGAAGCAAAAUCAUUUAUGGCCCACGCUGAGCUUCCUUCUCUGGUUUCCUGUUAAACACAGCAAAUGUGUGUCUCCAAUAAAAAGCUACACAGCAA